GGUCGCUGUUGGGAAAAAGUGAGACUAUCAGCUGCUGAAUUCAUCAUGAAUUUUGGAUGCAAAACAGCAAUAAUUCUCGUUCUUGUGCUCAUGAUCUGCGCAGAGGGCAACAAAUUUAAAAAAAAGCAACGCAGUAAGAACAGGAGAAAUAAUUUUAUAAUUAAAUGCUGCGGAAAAAAUUCUUGCAUCAAUCCGAAAUCGAAUAACUCUUCCCUUGCAAGAAGACGGACUGCAAAAACUCCCUCACAAUCAGUGACU